CAGGGUUUAACCCUUAGUUCCGGCGAGUGAAGCGGCAACAGCUUCCAAAUUUUGAAAGCUAGCCUUUCGGGUUCGCAUUUGUAAUUCUGUAGAGGAUGAUUUCGGGGAAGCCGCCUGUCUAAGUUCCUUCGGAACAGGACGUCAUAGAGGGUGAGAAUCCCGUAUGUGACAGGAAAUGGCACCCUAUGUAAAUCUCCUUCGACGAGUCGAGUUGUUUGGGAAUGCAGCUCUAAAUGGGAGGUAAAUUUCUUCUAAAGCUAAAUAUUGGCGAGAGACCGAUAGCGCACAAGUAGAGUGAUCGAAAGAUGAAAAGCACUUUGGAAAGAGAGUUAAAAAGCACGUGAAAUUGUUGAAAGGGAAGCGCUUGCAAUCAGACUUGUUUAAACUGUUCGGCCGGUCUUCUGACCGGUUUACUCAGUUUGGACAGGCCAGCAUCAGUUUCGGCGGCCGGAUAAAGGCUCUGGGAAUGUGGCCUCCACUUCGGUGGAGGUGUUAUAGCCCAGGGUGUAAUACGGCCAAGCCGGGACUGAGGUCCGCGCUUCGGCUAGGAUGCUGGCGUAAUGGUUGUAAGCGACCCGUCUGA
rnacentral:rRNA from 1 species